rnacentral:rRNA from 1 species
AUGCACAAGCCGGCUUGCCUGGGAGACGUCCAGAAGUUCAUCGGCUGCCUGGUGUCCCUCAGCCGGUUCGUCAACCGGCUGGGGGAGAGGGCCCUGCCCCUGUACCAGCUGAUAAAGAAGACAACCGAGUUCGAAUGGAUGCCGCAGGCGGACGUGGCCUUCCGCGACCUCAAGCGCAUGCUCUCCACCGCACCCAUCUUGGCCGCGCCAGCUGAGAAGGAACCCAUGCUAAUGUACAUCGCCGCCACCACUCGCGUGGUCAGUGUGGUGUUGGUGGUGGAGCGCCUUGAGGAGGGCAAGGUGCAGCCGAUCCAGCGGCAUGUGUACUAUCUGAGCGAGGUGCUCUCCAUCUCCAAGCAGAACUACCCCCACUACUAG